CCUACGGGAGGCAGCAGUGAGGAAUAUUGGUCAAUGGACGAGAGUCUGAACCAGCCAAGUAGCGUGAAGGAUGACUGCCCUAUGGGUUGUAAACUUCUUUUAUAUGGGAAUAAAACGUUCCACGUGUGGGAUUUUGUAUGUACCAUAUGAAUAAGGAUCGGCUACCUCCGUGCCAGCAGCCGCGGUAAUACGGAGGAUCCGCGCGUUAUCCGGAUUUAUUGGGUUUAAAGGGAGCGUAGGUGGAUUGUUAAGUCAGUUGUGAAAGUUUGCGGCUCAACCGUAAAAUUGCAGUUGAAACUGGCAGUCUUGAGUACAGUAGAGGUGGGCGGAAUUCGUGGUGUAGCGGUGAAAUGCUUAGAUAUCACGAAGAACUCCGAUUGCGAAGGCAGUUCACUGGACUGCAACUGACACUGAGGCUCGAAAGUGUGGGUAUCAAACAGGAUUAGAUACCCCAGUAGUC
rnacentral:rRNA from 1 species